AUUCUGGCUCAGGGAUGAACGCUGGCGGCGUGCUUAACACAUGCAAGUCGAACGAGGCUUGUCGACGGAAAUUUCGGAUGGAAGACGGCAUGACCGAGUGGCGGACGGGUGAGUAACGCGUGGGGAACCUGCCCCAUUCCGGGGGAUACCAGUUGGAAACGACUGUUAAUACCGCAUAAGCGCACGGGAAGGCAUCUUCCAGUGUGAAAAACUGAGGUGGAAUGGGAUGGCCCCGCGUCUGAUUAGCCAGUUGGCAGGGUAACGGCCUACCAAAGCGACGAUCAGUAGCCGGCCUGAGAGGGCGACCGGCCACAUUGGGACUGAGACACGGCCCAAACUCCUACGGGAGGCAGCAGUGGGGAAUAUUGCACAAUGGGGGGAACCCUGAUGCAAGCGACGCCGCGUGAGUGAGGAAGUAUUUCGGUAUGUAAAGCUCUAUCAGCAGGGAAGAAGGUGACGGUACCUGCACAAGAAGCCCCGGCUAACUACGUGCCAGCCGCCGC
rnacentral:rRNA from 1 species